rnacentral:rRNA from 1 species
GAUGAACGCUGACAGAAUGCUUAACACAUGCAAGUCAACUGUGGCGGACGGGUGAGUAACGCGUAAAGAACUUGCCUCUCAGAUAGGGACAACCUUUGGAAACGAAUGCUAAUACCUGAUACUGUGAGAGAGCUUUGCGUCCCAUUAGCUAGUUGGAGAGGUACCGGCUCACCAAGGCGAUGAUGGGUAGCCGGCCUGAGCGGGUGAUCGGCCACAAGGGGACUGGGAAACGGCCAUUAGUCAUGCGGGAGGCAGGAGUGAGGAAUAGAGGACGAUGGGCCAAAGUCUGAUCAAGCAAUUCGGUGUGCACAAUGAAGUUUUCGGGAUGUAAAGUGCUUUCAGUUGGGAAGCAGUACCAACAGAAGAAGGGACGGCUAAAUACGUGCCAGCAGCCGCGGUAAUUC